GACGAACGCUGGCGGCGUGCUUAACACAUGCAAGUCGAACGGUGAAGCAGAGCUUGCUCUGUGGAUCAGUGGCGAACGGGUGAGUAACACGUGAGCAACCUGCCCCGGACUCUGGGAUAAGCGCUGGAAACGGCGUCUAAUACCGGAUACGAGCUGCGAAGGCAUCUUCAGCAGCUGGAAAGAACUUCGGUCUGGGAUGGGCUCGCGGCCUAUCAGCUUGUUGGUGAGGUAACGGCUCACCAAGGCGUCGACGGGUAGCCGGCCUGAGAGGGUGACCGGCCACACUGGGACUGAGACACGGCCCAGACUCCUACGGGAGGCAGCAGUGGGGAAUAUUGCACAAUGGGCGAAAGCCUGAUGCAGCAACGCCGCGUGAGGGACGACGGCCUUCGGGUUGUAAACCUCUUUUAGCAGGAAAGAAGCGAAAGUGACGGUACCUGCAGAAAAAGCGCCGGCUAACUACGUGCCAGCAGCCGCGGUAAUAC
rnacentral:rRNA from 1 species